CAAUAGCGUAUAUUAAAGCUGUUGCGGUUAAAAAGCUCGUAGUUGGAUUUCUGUCAAGGACAACUGGUCCGCCCUCCGGGUGAGCACAUAGUUUGGUCUUGGCAUCUUGCUGGAAACUGUUGCUGCGCGUGGUUGUGUGGUGCAGCUUUCAGCACUUUCACUUUGAGGAAAUUGGAGUGUUUCAAGCAGGCACAUGCCUUUGGACACAGUAGCAUGGAAUAAUUAGAUUGGGCUUUUGCUCCAACUUGUUGGUUCCUGGAGCUGAGGUGAGAAUCAAUGGGGAUUGUUGGGGGCAUCCGAAUUUAGCCGUCAGAGGUGAAAUUCUUGGAUCUGCUAAAGACGGACAACUGCGAAAGCGUUUGCCCAGGAUGUUUUCAUUGA
rnacentral:rRNA from 1 species